rnacentral:lncRNA from 1 species
AAAGUUUUUAUUGCUCAACUGCAUAUAUUUACAACUUUCAAUGCGGUAUUGAAACAGGCAACAUUGAUAAUUCACGGAAGUUCAAUAUAUAAAUAAUAUUUACACAAUAUUGUCUAGAGAAAGGUAGUUUGAUGAAGAUUCACUUUAAGUACAAGAUGAGUCUCUUAAGAACUGUGGAGUGAGGGGUGACCCAAACAGUAUGUGAAGAGAAAGAAAGCCUCACCUUUCUUGGUGUGUUCUAGGAAUUCCAAGUCUUCAGAUUGGGAGGAAGUGAAGAUGAAGGAGCCAUCCUUUGCGUCCAGCAUGCGAAGGCAGAGGAUCUCCAGCCCAGGGAAGGGGCUCCCCUGCACCCACAGGCCUCAGUCACGCUCAGAUGGAGGUCAAGCUGGGUGGAGGCUGCCUGCUGUCUUGGGCGACGUGAGCGGAGGAGGAGAGAAGAGCUCUGCUUUAAGACCCAGGCCCACUCCUGAGGAAGGGACCAUAAGGCCUUGGUUCUUGGCCUCCUGGCAACUUUGGGAAAGCUCCUCGUGACGUCUUGAGUCUCACAACCUCUUCUAAGAACUCGAGCACUCGCAGCAGCUCUGCCGUCUCCUCUUCUUGUUCAACCAUUUGGCUCUCUCUCCCUUCAGUUCCUGAGCCAGGUCAGUCAAUUCCUCCUUCAGCAUUGCGUUGGUCCUCUUCACCUUUCUGUGAGUGUCUGUGAGGCUGGCUAUAGUCAGUGACUCUUUCUCCAGCCUGGCAAUCUCUAAAGAUGAUUGCAUCCCCAGAUACUCCUUUGAGCAGCGCCAAGCUUGUCAACGAGCUGGCAUUUCUCCUCAAUCCCUGCAGCCACUGCUUCUGCCAGCCGCUGUUCACAUUGUACAUAAAGUUGACUUCUAACAGACUGAACCAGUCUGAAUAUAAAUAAGAUGCCCACCAGUAAACUGAGGGCAGGUGGGCACAUCACUGUCUCCCACUGGAGGCUGUGGAAAGUGAGUCAUGGACUCAGGAUAUCGGGCAGCAUCUCCACCACCACCUCGCCCAGCUUGCCAAGGAUCAUCCCCAAGCCAAGCUGCACAGAGGACAGCAGCCCCUCCAUGGCACUGACCCACCACAGGGCUCUGCCCAGUUACCACAGAUCCACCAGCCACAGCACACUCCAGGGAACACCCCGACAUUCCGCCUGGAACCCAACCAGCAACUGACAGUCUGGAAAGCAUUAGUUUUAACUCAAAACUGAAUUCUUGGAGCAAUAUCAGCAAGAUGGUUGAGUAAGAGUUUCCAGCAGUCAUCCCUUUGCAGAAACAGCAAUCUGAUGAAUGAUCCACUCACGAAAAUGCCUUCACAAGAGCCAAGGAUUCUGGGCCACCAGAUCUCAAGAGUGAGGAUUGUGGGCCGGCCAUGAGCCCCCAACCCCACAAGCCCCUCUUGGAGCUUGAGGAGGUAAGGAGGGAACAAGGCCAUGCAGCCUGCUGCCAUCUCAGCUUUCAGAAGAUACUGUCAGCCGAGCCACGGGGACCCCGGUGCUUUGAGAACUGAACACAUGAAAGCUGGAGCCGCAUAAACACACAGAGAGGCUGGGACUGCCCGACACACACGGAGGCACAGUGACAGCAGAGGGCAGGAGAGGAGCUGACACAGAGCCCAGACAUCUACAGAGCCGCCGAGUCCAGAUCAGCCGGGCCUGGGUCCCUGCUGCUCCACUCUGCUAGGGCCAGGGAAGCUCUGGGGUGAUGGGUGCGCCCAAGGCCCAGUGCAUCCAAAUCCCGCCCCCUAAUUCCCUUGACCUCGGUGAGAUGGAGGCAGAUAAAACAACUGAGGCAGGGCCGGCUAAGCAAAGACUGCCUCCCAGACCAGCCCUCUCCCUACAGCUCCCUCCUGCACCGCAGGGGCACCUCUGCCUGGGAGCAGGGUCCACCCAAUUCUGCACCAGGCCAGCCAAUGACUCAGGAGGGAACCAAUUCAGGACACAGAAGCCUGAAGCCCAAGCCUGACUCUGUGGCUGAUCCAAGGCCCCAAGCGGCCCCGCUCCUAGCGCUCCAAGGACAGACGCCUCACCAAGUAAAGCCCCAGAGAAGCAGGGAUGUGUGCUUAUUGCACGCCCACUGUAUACCCAGCUUCACUUUGCAAAGUAUCCCCAUCACGAAUGAGGCGAGAGAGCUCGGGAGACGCAUGGCACGCCUGCCAUUGCGGCAGGUGGGGGGUAGGGUCAGGACACAGAUUUCUAGCUCCUCUCAGACUUCCUAGCAAAGUUGUGCAAAGGCAGCACAGCAAGCCCUGUGGCAGCACACGUGUGAGCAGAAGCCAGGCCUUCCCACAUGGCUCUGUGUCCCUCCUGGUCUGAGUGUGGGGUCUGCGCUCCCAGACCUGUUUUGGGCGUCUGCCCAAGCUUUUCACUCUCCAUGAGCAUCCCCUGCAGAC